GGAGAAUAGGCGGAGGCUGCUGGUAUUUCCCCAAGUAGUUUUCUUCCUGUGGAACUGAAAAGGUACCUUCACUUUUUAGACGGUUGCCCAAAAUAAAUACCAUAUUUCUAGCCUCCUUGAUAGCUAGGAGCGUACAUAUAACUAAAUUCUGGCCAAAAGACUGGAGGUAGUGGAAAGGAAAAAGACCGUUUGUCUGGCAAGCAUUUUACAAGAAGACUAUAUGACUUUGCCUUUUCCAGUUCUCUUUCCUAUUCCUAGUAGCUGACAUGAGAUGUAAUAUGGGAACUGAAAAGACUUAAGCCAUGAGACAACUUUGAGGAUAGGGAAGAUGCACAUUGUCCUAGCAACAAGGUGGAAGGAGCCUGACUUUGUGAUAGGAAAACCAUACUAGCCCUGGAUUACUAACCUCUGGAAGAUAUUGCAUUUUUCACAAAUUGAAGUUUUGUGGCAUCCUUGCUUUGAAUAAGUCUUUUGGUACCAUUUUUCCAACAUCACGUACUUACUUCAUGUCUCUGGGUCAUGAGUUACCUGGAUUACCAAAAUUACCCAUUUUGGUAAUUCCUGCGAGUUUUUGCAAAUUUUACCUUUGCAUUUAUCUUGUGAAGAUACAAAGCCAAACAAAAAACAGAUGUAAUUAUUUUGAAGUAACUGGACACUUUCAGGCAAUUUUGCAGUUCUCCAACUGUGCUCCAUGGUGU
rnacentral:lncRNA from 10 species